rnacentral:rRNA from 1 species
UACGAAGGGGGCUAGCGUUGCUCGGAAUUACUGGGCGUAAAGCGCACGUAGGCGGCUUUGUAAGUUAGAGGUGAAAGCCUGGAGCUCAACUCCAGAAUUGCCUUUAAGACUGCAUCGCUUGAAUCGCGGAGAGGUGAGUGGAAUUCCGAGUGUAGAGGUGAAAUUCGUAGAUAUCUGGAGGAACACCGGUGGCGAAGGCGGCAUCCUGGACCGGUAUUGACGCUGAGGCGCGAAAGCCAGGGGAGCAAACGGG